UGUCAGAAGAGCUGCAGAUCUUAGCAAGACAGACGCACAUCGCAGAUACCGACGCAGCAAAACCACACACAGAGAAGAAAACACAGAGCAAGUCUGAAAACAUAUAAGUCUUUAAAAUAUAUAAUAAGUUCUUGAAAAAAUAAAGUAUACCUGUCCUUCACAUUUUAACUUCUCGUGAGGAUCUUGUGCACCAAAAAAAGACCAAAACAUCCCCAAAUAUCUAAAAAGAGUGAUGAGUAAACUAGACAUAAUGCCCGUGAAAAACAAAAUAUGUUCUUCGUUUAAGAGUGGACUGGCCAAAACUGAUGUUUUCCAAUCUUUCCCGAUGAGUCUUUUGUUGAUUCCACUUGAUUUUCUGACUGAUAAAAAAUUUUCAUGUCCGUGCGAUUCAGACUUGAAGAAAACAUGCCUGACAAUCUCUGUCUUCAUGUCGCCGGCUCUUUUCAGUUUUGCUUUAACCUUUAUUUAUCUGUGUCUAAAACCUAAAGAAGAAAAGGGAAAGGAAGAAGUCAAAGGAAAUGAUGAUGAAGAAGAAAACAAAUGUUGCAAGUAUUGUGGUUAUAUAGCCAUUAGCCUGAUUCCACCUCUCCUGUGGUUCAUUCUAAUGCUGUUAGAUGGGGAUUACGUGGCCUGUAUUCAAACACAAUGGACAGGACAGUACACUUUUGAUGACAAGCUGCAAAUAAAAUGGUGUAAACCACUUGAAUUCACCCCUGAAAAAAAUGAGACUGAAUAUAAAAACCUGACACUUGGACACAUCGAAAAAUCACAGUGUAUUGGCUAUAUCUGCCUCAUGAUCUUCAGCGUUUGUAUCGCAUCCAUAGUGGGUGUUUAUAAGUGCUGCACUGACAAAAAGCCCAAAAAGCCCACAGUGAAAGCAGUAAGAUCUCAGGCUCAAGAGGCUGCAACUGAACUGAACCAGGAGGAUCAGGUUUAAGGAACAAUCAUCAGACCAUAUUUUGGUCAGUUUAAUAGUAGUAUGAAUUAAAUUUGCGUUUUGUUAAAUACAUGACGUACGAUGUUUGUACAGUAUAUGUACAUUUAUGACUUUUGUUUUUGAAUGAACUAUUUAGAGCAAAACCAAGCUCUUAUAUUUGCUUAUUUAUUUAUUUAAACAAUUUUCUUUCAUAUUUUGCCAUUUACACUGUGUACCUUAUGACUUUUUUUUAUUUCUGUUCAUUCAGAUUUAUUUAUUUAUUUGUUUGUUUGUUUAUUUAUAAUUUUUUUAUUUAUUUUUUUAUUUUUAUUUAUUUAUUUUUAAUUAUUUUUGAUUUUUUUUCCCUAGCAUAGCAAGAACAGACAGAAUUAUUUUUGGUGAUGUUACCUUUGGUUUGUAACCUUUGGCUUCAUGAGCAUCAUUUUACUUAAAGACUAGUUAAAUGUGUGAUAUUGAUGUUGUGCAACUCAUUUUGUUAUUCAGAAAAUAUACAUUUGUGGUUGUUAUUAUUAUUAGAUGCAUAUUUAAAUUUUCUGCUUUUAGGCAAAGCAAACAUUUCAAUGUUUUUAGGUUUAAAAAUGCCUUUACAAUGGCAAUGUGAUUAUUUUUGAUGUGUUUAUAAUGUUCAUAUAAUGAUCAUAUUACAAUAAUAAUGUCAUAAUUAUUAUGUGCAGUUUUUACAUUACAUUACGCUACACUGUUAUAAACUCUAGAGAAUGUUUUGCUUAAAUGUCAAAUGCAAAUGCUUAAAUGCAAACAACCCAUGCCACAUUCAAAGUCACUUAAAUCCCCCUUUUUAUUGUACAGCUUCAAUGUGAAUGCAUGGGUGUUUGCAUUUAAAUAAUAAUCCUGUUAAAUUGCUGUGUGAUCCAUUAAGCUAGUAAAAUCGGAUUGAUAACUUCUCA